rnacentral:rRNA from 1 species
GAGGAGCCCGCGCCCGAUUAGCUAGUUGGCAGGGUAACGGCCUACCAAGGCUAUGAUCGGUAGCUGGUCUGAGAGGAUGGCCAGCCACACUGGAACUGAGACACGGUCCAGACUCCUACGGGAGGCAGCAGUGGGGAAUCUUGCGCAAUGGGCGAAAGCCUGACGCAGCGACGCCGCGUGGGGGAUGAAGCUUCUCGGAGUGUAAACCCCUUUCGACUGGGACGAAUGCCUCGCAAGAGGAGUGACGGUACCAGUAGAAGAAGCCCCGGCUAACUACGUGCCAGCAGCCGCGGUAAGACGUAGGGGGCCAGCGUUGUUCGGAAUUACUGGGUGUAAAGGGUUCGUAGGCGGUGUGGCAAGUCGGGAGUGAAAUCUAUGGGCUUAACUCAUAGGCUGCUUCCGAAACUGCUGUGCUUGAGUGUGGGAGAGGCGCGUGGAAUUGCAGGUGUAGCGGUGAAAUGCGUAGAUAUCUGCAGG